GGCUCAGUGGUCGAAGGGUAUGAUUCUUGCUUUGGAUUCGUGUGGUUUCGGGUUCAAAUCCCGGCUGAGCCC
rnacentral:tRNA from 1 species